ACCCGUCUUGAAACACGGACCAAGAAGUCUAUCUUGCGCGCAAGCCAAUGGGUAAAUGGUGCGGUACGCCGCCCAUGACUGAAAACCCACAGGCGAAGACAAAUCGAGUGUUGCGGGAUUACGGGUACGGCCGAUGGCGCAAGCCUUCGUCGGACCCCUCCAUCCCAGGGUGUCCCGUUCGGGUGCUUGCACCCAGCGGACAUCCCCGGAGUGCGUAGGAUGUGACCCGAAAGAUGGUGAACUAUGCCUGAUCAGGUCGAAGUCAGGGGAAACCCUGAUGGAGGACCGAAGCAAUUCUGACGUGCAAAUCGAUUGUCAGAGUUGGGCAUAGGGGCGAAAGACCAAUCGAACCAUCUAGUAGCUGGUUCCUUCCG
rnacentral:rRNA from 1 species